UAGCAGUUCUGGAUGAUGAGACGAGUCCGUCGAUAGAUAGCCUGAUUUGAUUAGGAACAAAAUAGCGAUGGAAACCUAUCUUUGUUGGGCAAUUACAACCAAAGCAGCUAUUAAACCCUAUUUUAUAAAAAAAAGUGCUUAUCCCAAAACCCACUUCCUUCUGCGUAUCAAGAAACCCGGCAGCUAAGCCAAACGAACCGGCGAUGAUCAUCACCGCUCUCCCUUAAUUCUUCUUUUCUGGUGUCCAAAGCACUAUUGGCAUUUAGUAAAAUACACAUUUAUAAUGGAUUUAAAAUCUAAAGGUAUAGCCUGGGUUGGCAACAUUUACCAGAGGAUUGAAACAAUAUGCCAUGAAGUGGAUAACAUUGUGAACCAGGAUACUGUUAGAUAUGUUGAAAACCAGGUGCACACAAUGGGUGAGAACAUGAAAAAAUUUUAUUCUGAUGUUCAAGACUUAAUUCCACCUAUAGUGGAUCCAGUAAGAUGUGAAGCUCAAGUGGUGGCUCUAAAAGCAAAUGCUGCUGUUAGUACCUAUAUUAAAUCAAGUAUUGGUGUUGAGGAAGAUCAUGGGCAUACAAUUCCUAUAAAGCAGUCACUUCUUGAGCCCAGUGAUUUUGAUAAUGUGGAGAAUCAGCCUGGUAAUGAGCUUAGUGAACACCACUUUGUAAAUCAGUCAGAUACUCCUACUUCUGGGGAAUCCCUUGAGGGGGCAGAAUCUGACUCAGCUCCAGGAAAAAUUGAUGAUGUUUCACCCAGCAAUGAGCUUAGUGGACACGACCUUGUGAAUCAAUCUAAUUCUCCAACUUCUGAGGAGUCACUUUGCGGAGCAGAAUCUGACUCAGCUCCUGUAAAAGUUAAUGAGGUUUCAACCAUUAAUGAGCUUAGUGUACACCACCUCGUAACUCAAUCAAAUACUUCAAUUUCUGGGGAAUCCAUUGAGGGGGCACAAUUUGACUCAGCUCCAACAAAGAUCGAUGAUAUUUCAACAAAUGGGAACUCUGAUUUUAGCACGAAAGAAAUUGCAAUAAAGGAUAAGUCUAAUGCACCUGAGGCUUUUGAGUCAAUUGCUCCUCAUGAGAAAGAAUCAUUUAAUGCAUCACUGUCUAGUGAAUUCACCAGUUAUAGUGAUGAAAAUAUGCGUGUUUCUAUGUCUGAAUUUUCACCUGCAUCUUCAUUGCGUGGAGAGGAGUUUCAGUCCCCUCAAAAGGUGGAAGAGGUUUGUUACAUCUCUGCAGCUGCAGAUGACUCCGACUCUCUGUCUGAUGUUUCAAGUGCUGUUGCUCUUUCUGAAAUGGCUGUUUCAGUUGCCUCCUCCUGUGGUUCCAUAUUCACAGAACCUCGUACACUUCCUGAGAAUUCAUUUAAUGAUGUCCUUACAAAAGUGGUAUCUUAUGGUAACUCUGCUAUUAUGGGUGGCCAUUAUUCUGAUAGUUCCAAUGUACUCUCGUCUUCUAUGUCUGCUUCAGUUAUAUCCAGUCAUAGAGAGGUAGUGGCAGGACAUACUUGCUCUAGCAGUGUCCUGUCAUUGGAAUCAACAGCGUGCUCCAAUUACUCCAGUAAUUUUAGUGAUGGUAUAACAGACUCUGGAAUGGAAACCAUUGAUUUGUCUGACAAGGUGAAGCUUGAUGACAGCUGUGUCUUUGUGGACAAUAGUAUGCUUUAUGAAGUCUCUCGUAGAAGCCGCAAACUCAGAUCAUUCAAGAAAAAACUCCAGGAUGCCUUUACUUCCAAGAAGAGGUUAAGCAAGGAGUAUGAGCAGCUAGCAAUUUGGUAUGGGGACCCUGAUAUAGAGGCCAGCGAAGAUACACUGCAUGAUCAGUUGCAAUCUAGCUCCACUGUAACCUUGGACGCUGAUUGCCAAAUACAUCAUAUCAAUGACUCUGAGUGGGAGCUCUUGUAAAUAACUCAAGAAGUCGAAUGUUGAUAACCACCACUGGUUGGGCAGCCUAUUGUUCAAGGAACUCCUGGUAAACACCAGUGGAUACAAUCGGCAAAUUUUUUUGGAUCAGAUCUUUGUUCCUUUGUCAAGAGCUUUCCCUUUCGUUCCCCAUAAAUUGUUGUAUGAGCAUCUUUCCUGUACUCUGACAACUGGGUAACAUUCAAAAAUGUCACAUCGAUUUUUAAUUCCUGCAAGACGUCACCAACUAUCUUCAUGAUCUGGAGAUUUGAACCUGUUCCCCAAUAUGGUCCUUUAAUUGGGUAGGAUUCAUUGAAGCAGUUUUCAUCGCUUCCAGGUUUCCAUUCCCAGCUCCUACAAUAGAAUGUAUGUUAUGACAUAAAUUUAUUACAUUUAUGCAAAUGUCUGUCCCUCAAAUUAGGAAACCAUGCAAAAUGUUUAGUAUACUCACCACAAGUGUGUUGGAGACAUGCUCAUGAAGAACACCUUCUGCUUGCGAGAGUCAAUAUUGGAUUCUAACCAAUUUGCCCAA